rnacentral:rRNA from 1 species
GGCGGCAUGCCUUACACAUGCAAGUCGAACGGCAGCACGGGGGCAACCCUGGUGGCGAGUGGCGAACGGGUGAGUAAUACAUCGGAACGUGUCCUGUCGUGGGGGAUAACCAGUCGAAAGACUGGCUAAUACCGCAUGAGAUCGAGAGAUGAAAGCAGGGGACCGCAAGGCCUUGCGCGAUUGGAGCGGCCGAUGUCGGAUUAGCUAGUUGGCGGGGUAAAAGCCCACCAAGGCGACGAUCCGUAGCUGGUUUGAGAGAACGACCAGCCACACUGGGACUGAGACACGGCCCAGACUCCUACGGGAGGCAGCAGUGGGGAAUUUUGGACAAUGGGGGCAACCCUGAUCCAGCCAUGCCGCGUGUGUGAAGAAGGCCUUCGGGUUGUAAAGCACUUUCGGACGGAACGAAAUCGCACGGGUGAAUAUCCCGUGUGGAUGACGGUACUGUAAGAAGAAGCACCGGCUAACUACGU